rnacentral:rRNA from 1 species
CCCGCCCCACGCGGUGGAGUAUGUGGUUUAAUUCGAUGCAACGCGAAGAACCUUACCUGGUCUUGACAUCCACGGAACUUUCCGAGAUGGAUUGGUGCCUUCGGGAACCGUGAGACAGGUGCUGCAUGGCUGUAAGUGUCGUGAGAUGUUGGGUUAAGUCCCGCAACGAGCGCAACCCUUGUCCUUAGUUGCCAGCACGUAAUGGUGGGAACUCUAAGGAGACCGCCGGUGACAAACCGGAGGAAGGUGGGGAUGACGUCAAGUCAUCAUGGCCCUUACGACCAGGGCUACACACGUACUACAAUGGUGGGCAGAGGGCUGCGGGCCCAGAGGGUAAG